GGGGGAGACCACUGCCGACUCACGGAGCUUGGGGCCAACGCGCGAGCUAGGAUCCGACCCCGGGAGCCUGCUCAGGGAUCCAAGAGCAUAGUCAACUGGCAAGACAGAUAAAGAUACUGAAGAGAGAGGACCUCUGAUAAUGACUUCACAAUUUCCUUGGCCCUAAGGAAACAACUCCAAAAGAAGAAGAGGAGAUUAGGACAUAGACAAGACAGGAACAACCAUGUAAGGAUACAAGGAGAAGGCUGCAAUCUGC